rnacentral:rRNA from 1 species
UUCCGUAGGUGAACCUGCGGAGGGAUCAUUACCGAGUUUACAACUCCCAAACCCCUGUGAACAUACCAAUUGUUGCCUCGGCGGAUCAGCCCGCUCCCGGUAAAACGGGACGGCCCGCCAGAGGACCCCUAAACUCUGUUUCUAUAUGUAACUUCUGAGUAAAACCAUAAAUAAAUCAAAACUUUCAACAACGGAUCUCUUGGUUCUGGCAUCGAUGAAGAACGCAGCAAAAUGCGAUAAGUAAUGUGAAUUGCAGAAUUCAGUGAAUCAUCGAAUCUUUGAACGCACAUUGCGCCCGCCAGUAUUCUGGCGGGCAUGCCUGUUCGAGCGUCAUUUCAACCCUCAAGCCCCCGGGUUUGGUGUUGGGGAUCGGCGAGCCCUUGCGGCAAGCCGGCCCCGAAAUCUAGUGGCGGUCUCGCUGCAGCUUCCAUUGCGUAGUAGUAAAACCCUCGCAACUGGUACGCGGCGCGGCCAAGCCGUUAAACCCCCAACUUCUGAAUGUUGACCUCGGAUCAGGUAGGAAUACCCGCUGAACUUAAGCAUAUCAAUAAGCGGA